rnacentral:rRNA from 1 species
AGAGUUUGAUCCUGGCUCAGGAUGAACGCUGGCGGCGUGCCUAACACAUGCAAGUCGAACGGGUGUGGUAUCAGGGAAAAGGGGCUUACUUCUUUGACCAGAUAACACACUAGUGGCGGACGGGUGAGUAACGCGUGGAUAACCUGCCUUAUACAGGGGGAUAACAGGGAGAAAUUCUUGCUAAUACCCCAUAGGUAUGUCUGACGCAUGUUGGACAUAUUAAAGCUUUGGCGGUAUAAGAUGGGUCCGCGUCUGAUUAGCUAGUUGGUGGGGUAAAGGCCCACCAAGGCGACGAUCAGUAGCCGGCUUGAGAGAGUGGACGGCCACAUUGGGACUGAGACGCGGCCCAAACUCCUACGGGAGGCAGCAGUGGGGAAUAUUGCACAAUGGGGGAAACCCUGAUGCAGCGACGCCGCGUGAAGGAAGAAGGUCUUCGGAUCGUAAACUUCUAUCAGCAGGGAAGAAGGAAGUGACAGUACCUGAGUAAGAAGCCCCGGCUAACUACGUGCCAGCAGCCGCGGUAAUACGUAGGGGGCGAGCGUUAUCCGGAAUUACUGGGUGUAAAGGGUGCGUAGGCGGUAUGGCAAGUCAGUUGUGAAACCCCCUGGCUCAACCAGGGGCUUGCAAUUGAAACUGUCAUACUAGAGUGCAGGAGAGGAAAGCGGAAUUCCUAGUGUAGCGGUGAAAUGCGUAGAUAUUAGGAAGAACACCAGUGGCGAAGGCGGCUUUCUGGACUGUAACAGACGCUGAGGCACGAAAGCGUGGGGAGCGAACAGGAUUAGAUACCCUGGUAGUCCACGCCGUAAACGAUGAGUGCUAGGUGUCGGGGUCUUAUGAUCUCGGUGCUGAAGUCAACGCAUUAAGCACUCCACCUGGGGAGUACGUUCGCAAGAAUGAAACUCAAAUGAAUUGACGG